GUACUGAAAGGAAGAGGGAGGGGAAAUAUCUGCCCCUAUCGUGGGUGGAAGCCCAGGAGCACAUUCCUUGACACCCCUUGGGGUUUCUUGGGCACCCUGUACAGGACCUAUGAUUAGAGAGUGACAGUCCCAAGAGAAAGGAUGCGCGGACAGGUUGCUAUGGCAACCGGGUGGCUGGUCCAGCACAGUGGUGGAAGCUAACGGGAAGAGAUGGGGGUUUAAGGGUGGGAGCUGAUGGAUCUGCAGCCACUGAGGUUCUGGAAGACUUCAGCACCCUGAGUUCCCGAAGAAACAGACCCGUUUUUCUAUGGUGAGUGUUGGAUCUUGUGCUGGGGAUGCCCUAGGGCUGGAAUGGAAGGGUAGUUUCAGCUGGGACUACAGGACACUGGCUCACCAAAGGGGUAUGUGGAAGGUACAGCCUGAUUGGGGGAGGGAGGUGGUCUCCUACCCCCUCCAGCCCCUGAUGGAGGCUGUGAGCCUUGUAAAGCCUGUUUUCUCUUGGGUUCAGGGUAGAGAUUAACUGGGGUUGGCAAGCACCAGCCUUAGGCUCCCUCUUUGGAGACUAGGAAGAGACUGGGAAGGAAAAAUGCAUUCAUUAUAUCAGUGCUAGACAAACUACAUCAGUCAGAGGAGGCUGCUGCCUGCCUCAAUAGCAACUAAUACUCAACGCCUCCAAGGAUUCUGACCAGGACUAUGGCUCAUACACUGAAUUAAUCAAAGCAGCAGCUUGGGAAGAGUCAUAAAACGACUCUGAGAUUUGAAUCUUAAUUUAUCCACUUCCUAGCUGUGUGGCCUAGGGCAAACAACUUUACCUCUCUGGGCCCUCCUAUAAAUAAGGUAUAGUAAUGGUUCCCACCUAUGAGGACUACGGAAAGAGUUUCUGUAAUGAUGCCUUUCUCUCAUGCCUAAGACACGGAAGCCUUGGGUCUGGCAGACUGGAAGCUAGCCUGAAUUCCCCCCAUUUUCUGUCCUUACUCAUGAAUACAGACCCUCUCAUAGGCCAAGGUCCUUACUACCUCAGGGCCUUUGGACUUACUCUUCCUUCUACCAGAAACAUGAUUCCUCACCCCCAGCUCUCCACACAGUGAGCUAAGGCUCCUCUCCUUGCUGGCCUCGGAUCAGAUAUUGACUGAUUUGCUAGGAGGCUGUCCCUGAGUCCCCAGCCAAAGCAGCCACACCACACCCUGCCGUGACUUGGGGAUUUGUGUGUGUGGUUUUGUUUUUGUUAGCAUUUUUUGUUUGUUGAUGAAUGCUUGAUCACAGCAUCAGAGCUAGCUGCUGAAGGGCAGAUGCAGGCUGUACACAGUAGGCGCUCCACGGUCCCCUCCCUGUGACGCCUGUGUGUGCUGGAUGCUAGGCCCCACACCUGGCUCUAGAGACAUCAUGGGGAGGUUUCUAGACCAGCCUUUCUGUCCUGACAGGCCUCAUACUCUCCUCCUAUUCAUCACACAUGUACAGCAAACAAGAAUAACUCUUCCCAGCAUUCAAGAGGCUGAGGCAGUGGGAUUGUGAGUUUGAGAUCAGUCUGCACUAUGUAGUAAGACCCAGUCUCAAAGCAAUAUGUUCUUAUGAAAAAAAAAAUAAGAAAGGGAAUGGGGCUAGAGAGAGCUGGGGCCAUGAGACUUUUACAUGGAGCAUUUCAGUUAAACUCACAGGUUGGUGAGGAAGUCAAGUGCAUGGAGCCUUCAGGCAGAGGAAGUGGCUCGUGCAAAGGUCCUGAGGCAGGGUGGCUGGCAUGCUUUAGGAUCAGGGGGUUUGUAUAGCUAUGCAGAGGACUGGUGAGAAGAGAAGGGUGUGUGAAGCCUUAGUAAGAUCAGGACUAGGUCAUCCACUGAAGAACUCUCAUUCAUUGUAUCAGUGCUAGAUGGACUCUGUCAGUCAGGUGAGGCUGCUGUCUGUCUCAAUAACAAACAGUACUCAGCAUCUCCACGGAUUAUGACCAGGGCUAAUGGGCUCAUGCACUGAAAUAAUCAGAAGUCAUUUCACGACUCUGAGGUUCAAAUCUUGAUUUAUCUUGGUUUUUGCUUGGAAUACUGUGGGGGCCAUUUGGGAGGCCUCUGCAGGCCCCUGAUCUGACUGGGAGUAAUAGAGUUCUUGUGGCUGUGGGAGGAAGAAUGGGGGCAGGGCAGCAAUACCAUAGAGAGAUCUGCCGGGAUAGUCUAGGCCCUGAUCAUGGAGGACAGAACCAAGAUGAGGACCCAGGAAGGGGCGAUUGAUGGGGCUUAGUGUCUCGUGUGAGAAUCCAGAAGGGCAGCAUUGGGAAGGAGGGUGGAGGGUAGAGAGGCACAGAGGUCUCAGACUGGCCCAGGCAAUCUGGGUCCUCCCCCAGUCCCUGGUGGAGUUGGGGGCUCAGCUGGCAGAUUUCUUGUCCUGUUGGGCCACUGACCUGAGGCUUGGGCUGGGCUGAGAGCCGCCCUGCCCUGAGGUCCCGCUGUCUCCCUCAGACUAUGCCACCGUACAGACUGUGGGGAUGACCCUGGCCAGUAUCAUGUUCGUGCUGGGGAUCAUCAUCAUCCUCAGCAAGAAGGUGAAGUGCAGGAAGGCGGACUCCAGGUCUGAGAGCCCAACAUGCAAAUCCUGUAAGUCGGAACUGCCCUCCUCAGCACCUGGAGGUGGCGGCGUGUAGGACCCUCUACAGAUCUCCACUGCUGUCCCUGGC